CGGAGCUUUUGAGGGCCCCAUGCAUAUGGCCUGCUGGGUCUCGAGAACACCAUUUCACUCUGCUGAUCCGCACUGCCAUUUCACUUUGAAGAGUCUCCA
ensembl:miRNA Mir6415 microRNA 6415